rnacentral:rRNA from 1 species
CCAAUAGCGUAUAUUAAAGUUGUUGCAGUUAAAAAGCUCGUAGUUGAAUUUCGGGGUCAGUAGGUUGGUCAUGCCAUUGGUAUGUACUGGUCUCACUGAUUCCUCCUUCCUGAUGAGCCGUAAUGCCAUUAAUUUGGUGUUGCGAGGAAUCUGGACUGUUACUUUGAAAAAAUUAGAGUGUUUAAAGCAGGCUAACGCUU